rnacentral:rRNA from 1 species
GACGAACGCUGGCGGCGUGCUUAACACAUGCAAGUCGAACGGAAAGGCCCUGCUUUUGUGGGGUGCUCGAGUGGCGAACGGGUGAGUAACACGUGAGUAACCUGCCCUUGACUUUGGGAUAACUUCAGGAAACCGGGGCUAAUACCGGAUAGGAGCUCCUGCUGCAUGGUGGGGGUUGGAAAGUUUCGGCGGUUGGGGAGGGACUCGCGGCUUAUCAGCUUGUUGGGGGGGUAGUGGCUUACCAAGGCUUUGACGGGUAGCCGGCCUGUGAGGGUGACCGGCCACAUUGGGACUGAGGGACGGCCCAGACUCCUACGGGAGGCAGCAGGGGGGAAUAUUGCACAAUGGGCGGAAGCCUGAUGCAGCAGCGCCGCGUGUGGGAUGACGGCCUUCGGGUUGUAAACCGCUUUCGCCUGUGACGAAGCGUGAGUGACGGUAAUGGGUAAAGAAGCACCGGCUAACUACGUG